CGUGUAGGCGGUCUCUUAAGUCAGAUGUGAAAGCCCGGGGCUUAACCCCGGAAGUGCAUUUGAAACUAAGGGACUUGAGUAUGGGAGAGGGAAGUGGAAUUCCUGGUGUAGAGGUGAAAUUCGUAGAUAUCAGGAGGAACACCGGUGGCGAAGGCGACUUCCUGGACCAAUACUGACGCUGAGGCGCGAAGGCGUGGGGAGCAAACAGGAUUAGAUACCCUGGUAGUC
rnacentral:rRNA from 1 species